ensembl:misc_RNA 7SK 7SK RNA
GGAUGUGAGGGUGAUCUGGCUGCAACAUCUGUCACCCCAUUCAUCACCAGGGCUGUUUCAGCUGAUCUGGCGGGCUAGGGGGAUUUCCCCUUCUUGCCACACUCCAUGUAUGUCCCUUCCAAAGCUGCAUGCUUGGUCAAAGAGGACAACCUUCCCUGAGUAGAAAUGGACUAGUCUUUGAUCAUGGGUAUAUGAGUAGCUGUGCUCUCCUGCUAGAACCUCCAAAAAAACUCUCAAGACAUAAUAUAUCCAAAGAGUUUUCAGGGUCCUAAGUAUCUAGGCAUGUCAAUGCUAUCUUUGGGAUUCUGAUUCUUU